rnacentral:lncRNA from 1 species
CCAGUUGAAAAACAUUCAUGAGUUGAAUAGAUCUGUUUAUUCUUUUUUUUCGUUCAAGAGGAUAAUCUUAGUCUUCCAAAAUAUUAAUACCUUAAUUCUGAAUUUAUCUUUGCCAAUGACCAUCACGACAAAGCUUAUGCAUUCUAUUGCUUUUGCUCGAAUAAAGCGCUUAGGCUCAUCAUUUGCCAAUAUAGUUUUCAAACAUGGCAUUACAA